UGUCAUCACUGAUGGACUGAAACCAGAUCGUGAGACAGUGGACGCACCAGAGAAUUAUGAUGAUGUCAUCAUUAAUAGACUGAACUCUCAAGGUGUAACAGAGGGAGUUCAGGAGGAGUAUGAUGAUGUGAU